GGUUGUGGCUCAGUGGUAGAGUGCUCGCCUAGCAUGUGCAAGGCUCUGGGUUCAAUCCUUAGCACCA
rnacentral:tRNA from 1 species